rnacentral:sRNA from 1 species
GUGUACACUUCAUGGCUUAGCGGUUGA